CUUACAGUGCUACCUGAGCUCCCAGACGACAACUAGUGCUGGCUGCCCAUCGAGCAACGAGCCAUCUUGGAUGUCCAGCCCAGUCAAACCACCAAAUUACUGCAGGUCCUGGUGACCUCUGAUGACAACCUUGUGAAAGACCCCUAAGUGCUGAACUAUUCAAUGGCACCCUUCUCAGACUUUUGACCCAUAAUUUUAUGAGCAAAAUUAAAUGGAUUUUUUAGCUGCUACAUUUGAGGGUACUAAGCUGUGCAGAAAUAGUAACUGAAAUAUUAGCGACAAACAGUUUCUCCUAAUCCUAUACAUAUAUGCUAUGCCACCGUCUAGAGAUAAUGUCUUGUUAAAUCCAGGCUGGACCUGUGACUUGUUUCUACCAACAGAAUGUGGCCAAAGUGAUGCCGUGUCAGUUCCUGGCCAAACUUUAGGAGACUUGAUAGCUCUACUUUCUUUCUGGGGGAAGCCAACCACCACAUAAGAAGGCAGAUGCUUUGACACCCACAUGGCGAGGAAGCCCAAACAGGCUAUGCAAAGAGACCCCGUGAAGAAGAACUGAGGAAUCCAGCUGAUGGCGAGCACGGGCCUCCAGACACAUGACCCCAGUCAAGCCAUCCAGCCAGCGCUCAGCCAUUCAGCUGCAAGGCUCCAGAAUUCAUGGAGCAGAAAAGAGCUAUCUUUGCAGCGCCUGGUCCAAAUUUCUGACCUACAGAACUUGAAGGAGGAAACAAUGAGGGAGAACUUGUUCAAGGAUUUCACUCUUGCUCUCAUACGAGGAACAUCACUGGGCAGCAUCGGGUCCCCAGCCGGAAUCCCUAUCAGUCCACAGCCUUCAGAAUCUCCCAAGUCAAGAGGAAUGGGUCAUCAAAGGUGGCCUUUUCCCCACAGCAUGCUCCUGGCAUUUUCUCCAUCCGAAUCAGAAGACCUAGCCAUCAUCUCUCUCUGUAAAUAACAUACAAGAGACUUUGACCAAGGUCAGCUUCCAGAAGAUUGUCAAAUCUUGUUCUUGCCUCCAUUCUACUGGUUACAUGGCAAUACUAACAGAAAACAUGUCAGGCAGAAAAAAGAUAUUUCUUACAAAAUUCUUGGAUAUGGUAGUAAGUUGUUAGCACAAUACUACUACUUACUCCCAUUUGCCCAUAUCUUGAAUCUUCAAGGAAACUGUAAACUCCUAGAUGACAAGGACUGGGUUAAACUCUCCUAACUGCCCCCAUGCCCAUUCCAUGGUUUACAUAGUACCUGGCACAUCCAAGGCACAGGAAAUAACUUCAUCAUUGUAUCACCAGUGAUUUAACUGACUGGGUUUCCAGCUCUGUACUAAAUAUUUAUCCAAAUUUUAUACUUACAGCAACCCUCUGAAUUAGUGACUAUGAUUAUCUCCAUUUUCGAGAGAAAACAAGCUUGAAGAGGUGAAACAACUGACCCAAGAUUGAAGUAAAAAGGUACACCCAGAAUUGAGACUCAAGUAGGACCUUCUGUCUCCAAAGGCCCAACUCUUUCUACUCUGUGACACUCCAUAUUUUAUAAAUGUUACAACAUCAUUGGUGGCUCUAAAAUGUCUCUUUAUUCAAAAAUAAAGCCAAGGGACUUCCCUGGUGGUCCA
ensembl:lncRNA